rnacentral:rRNA from 1 species
UUGUCUGGCGGCCAUAGCGCGAUGGUACCACCUGAUCCCAUGCCGAACUCAGUAGUGAAACGUUGCAGCGCCGAUGGUAGUGUGGGGUCUCCCCAUGUGAGAGUAGGACACUGCCAGACAC